CAUUGCACACAUUAUAUUGAGUUUUUCAUCAACCAUCAACCCAAGUCCUUCUCCACAGGGCUGCUCUCAAUUACUUUUCUGCCCAGCCUAGAGAUAAUAUUGCAAUCCAACCAGAGAAAAUAGAGAGGGAGUGGAGAUUAACUGGUGACUUCAUUCAUAUCAUCCCAGAUUUUGGCAGGUUUGCUCUAAAACCAGUAGAGCAUCAUCAAAACAGGGGACGCCACAUUCUCCUGCAUUCUUGCAUCUUCUCCUAAGCCACGACCCGACAUUGCAUACGACCUAUCCCACCGGCGGCUGAAUUAUCGCGCAGAUAAGCUAUGUGCCAAAUGUUCUGCGUCAACAGUGGGAUAUCAUGUUUUGUAAUUCCCAUUCAGAAAGGUGGCUUUGAACGGAAGUUAUUAAGGAGCCACAAGUGGAAUACUUGUGCUAAGUGAGUGUAGUUGGGGUGGGUCCAGCCACUGAAAUGUAAGAAACUCAAGACCAGGAGGCAGUCACCAAGGACAGACCAGCCCAAGGCUCCAGAUGGAAACACACCCAAGAAAAUGAGAAAUCAGAGGUACCUCAAACCAAAGAGCAAAUCAAGAGCAAGGUCAAUAAAUUAAAGAGCUUGCACUGAAA